rnacentral:lncRNA from 1 species
CCUUUUACAGCUAAAGAAGCAGACUUAGAAAGGUAAGGGAACUUAGCAAUAUGACUCCUAAUAGGCUUUUUGCCCAAACAGCUGAGCUGAUGAGAGAUUUCUGCUUUCUGAAGACGAACGGAACAUCCUGAAGUAAUAACUCCUCAUCUGAGCCAGCCCAGCCCCUCCACUGUGCCCCCCAUGCAAGAGUUAUACCCCAUAUUUCUCUUUGGAGAUUUUUCUAACCCUUUCUCUGAAAGUUUUAAGAAAGAAAUAUAAGGCUGCAAUAGAAGGCUAAUCUGCAGAUGUCACAUUUUACAAAUAAGGAGAUAUUUUGUUUUCAUUAUAAAAGUGAUCCAUAGCCCAAAAGGAAUGUUUGGAAAACAUAAGGUAGUAGGAAAAGAGAAAAAAAGUCAUGGAAUCUCACCACCAAAAUAUUAAUACAUUUUGGUAUAGUUCCCCUAGCCUUUGUUUUUCUGUAGCAAGGUAGGUUUUUUGACUUUUUC